GUGAGGAAUAUUGGGCAAUGGGCGAAAGCCUGACCCAGCCACGCCGCGUGAGUGAUGAAGGCCUUCGGGUUGUAAAGCUCUGUGGGGAGGGAAGAAAAAGCGGGAGAGUAACUGCUCUCGUGUUGACGGUACCUCCUUAGCAAGCACCGGCUAACUCUGUGCCAGCAGCCGCGGUAAUACAGAGGGUGCAAACGUUGCUCGGAAUUACUGGGCGUAAAGCGCGUGUAGGCUGACAUGCAAGUCGGGUGUGAAAUCGCAGGGCUCAACCUUGGAACUGCACUCGAAACUGCACGUCUUGAGUACUGGAGAGGGAAGCGGAAUUCCGGGUGUAGAGGUGAAAUUCGUAGAUAUCCGGAGGAACACCAGUGGCGAAGGCGGCUUCCUGGACAGUAACUGACGCUGAGACGCGAAAGCGUGGGGAGCAAACAGGAUUAGAAACCCCAGUAGUCC
rnacentral:rRNA from 1 species